UUCAAUUGGAAAUAAUCUAUUAUUUAUGAAGUAAGCGCGUAAAAAUCACCAAUUAUCUCAUCGAAACUUCGGAUGUGCGCCAUUGGUUUUCCCGAUAUAUUCAUAUAAAACUUAUCGACUCGACGAUUCAGAAGGUUAUCAAAUCUAUUAUGAUUCAAACGAUGUGCAGAAAGAACUUGCGACAAUUUGAAAAAAAAAAAAAAAAAGAAAAGAAGGUUACGUCCGUCGCAGCGAUAAGCACAACAGCGGCAUGGAAUCUGCAACGCUAAUCGACCGUCUUGCCUCUUCUUUUUUUGCAACGGCAGCAGCAGCAGUUGUAGUCUAUGCUGUUACAAGUUUACGAUCACACGAUUGAUUUCUAUAAGUUUUUCCCUCCACAACAAAUCGGGCAAGACCGUGACCUUCGCGGACAACGAAAGCCCUUUGUGCGCGAUUUUUUUUCUCUCUCGCCUCGAGCAAAAUAAUCGUUAAUGGAAUAGUUGUAGUGAAUCCGUGAAAUGUGUCUUCAUUGAGCAGUGCCGGGAUGAACGACGAUCCAGGGCAUAAGAAAUAAAGAUCUUGCUCGGUAGAAAAACAAAAUUAAUUAUCUUAAGAAAGUGAUGACGAUUUUUAUCGUAGACGACGUUGCCGAUGCCCAUUACGCAUUCAGUUCGCCAAUCGAUAGAAGCCUCAGCUGGUCCGGAGAAAUUCACGUAGAUUACCGAGAAUUCGACAGCAUAAAACCGCCUACAUACGAUACACUUGCGAGCGCUGAUAACCACAGUUUUGCUCUUCUGCGAUGUAAACGCUUCGGAGAUGCUUAUUUCAAGAAUUGCAGUUUAACCACGCGAACGCACACUUUCGACGGGUGGCGUAUGUAUUCUCGGGUCAUCUUUAUGCACAGCUGUCGGGCGAGUCAUUUCAUUCGUCUGCGUACAAACAUGGACGAAGACUCGGCUGUUUUCGCAGUGCUCGGAUUUGCAAAUUCUUUCGUCAUUAUUUUCGGCGAACAAGAGUCGCGCACCGCUGACGAUUAUUGCAAAGUAUUUACGACUACGAUGGGAAACCUUUGUACAGCGUUCCUUCGUCAAUUUCAGCAGCGUCAUUAUCGAGAAAUGGCAAGUUUACUUUUGGAAAAGCUUAUCCCAUGGUCUACGAUUCCGGAGAAGGUAUUGUCUUGGUCGGUCGGCAAGAUGGACUUCCCUUCGGAACAAAAAACAUUUAUUCUCCAUUGUUAGGUUGGUUGGAAGCGAAAAAUAUUUCUUACUUGGAAAAUGUGUAUUCGAACUCGACUGGCUUUGCCACGCUUUGUUGGCGGCCGAUUCGCGUUCCUAAUCAACUUAGCUGCAAGUUAGAUGGAACUUGAAAAAAAUCAGAUGAUUACUUUUGAAUUCAAACUAUUUUUUUUUUUCAAAAAUGCCACGUGUUUAUAAUUCACUAAGUGGCAAUAUCAUAGUGGUCAACCGAGGCUUGGACGAUAGAGGUUGAAUCUAUUCGUGGAUGAAGCUAUUACAGACAUCCAAUGUAAGCGUUUGGUCAAAGUUUUCUGUCCUGUCUAUAACGAUAUAGUUGCGAUUUUAAUGUACUGGUGCGAUCAAUUUUGCUUUUCUCAGUUGUUCAAAAACUGGGAAUAUUUUGGUAGUUCGUCGGUCGUAAAAUACACGUUGACUACCAAGUACGCUGAUAUGCCGAAUUAUAACAUCCUUAAGUACACACUGAUCUUGUAAACGAUAUCAAAUGCAAAUGGAUAGCAGAAGUUCCAUCUCUACUUUUCUUGUUUAUUGCUACUGGUAUACCACCAACAGUGUACUACGCUUUGGAUGCCGAAUACAUUAAACGACCGUAUCAUUCGACCCAGAAGUAGAACGAAAAGUGAUACCGCUCUUUAUAACGACGUAAAUUGUGAAUCGUUACUGGAAUAAAAAACAGAAUUCGGAAAAAGCUUGACCGAUGGUUCAGUUUUUGA